UACAGAGGGUGCGAGCGUUAAUCGGAAUUACUGGGCGUGAAGCGUGCGUAGACGGUUAUUUAAGUCGGGUGUGAAAGCCCCGGGCUCAACCUGGGAAUUGCAUUCGAGACUGAAUAGCUAGGGUACGGUAGAGGGAAGCGGAAUUUCCGGUGUAGCGGUGAAAUGCGUAGAUAUCGGAAGGAACAUCAGUGGCGAAAGCGGCUUCCUGGACCAGUACCGACGUUCAGGCACGAAAGCGUGGGGAGCAAACAGG
rnacentral:rRNA from 1 species